UUUGCAGACCUGAGUGUGGCAGGACUACCCGC
rnacentral:rRNA from 1 species